AGAUGUGGGUGUUGCACAGUUACGGUGGGUGAGUGUGAGAGUUCAGGGUGGUGAUUGCUCUGACGAAGAACCUGUUCUUGAGUCUGUUUGUUCUGGCAACCGUGUAAAACAAGUGAUUGGCAACUUUAGUUAAGAUCACACGCUCAUGGGCUCCAUUUCAGAUACAGAUGUCAAUGCUGGAUUGAUUGGGGAGGCGGAUAUUGUAACAGGACUGGGCUCAGCUUCUAAGGGCAGCAAGCUAGUGGAAAGCCAAAGAUAGAAUCUCCGUGGUGCAACCUCAAUAGGAAAACAUCUCACAGUUGACAGAAGUGACAACCCUGCCCCAAAUUUUGUCACAUA